CUCGCCUACCCGCCCGCCGUCUUUCCUCAGUCCGUGUCGAUCACGCCUCCGGUCCUGCCGGGUACCCACUGCCCGGGAAAAAAUUGAUGGGAUGGUCCCAGCUGUUCAUGAGGAUCCACCUCCCCUCAGAUGGCCGCCACUGAAUCCCCCAUCGUCCGCUGCAGAGUGUCCGCCACGCAGCUGUUCGCCGGAGCCCCCCAACGUCGGCCGCGCAGCUCGUUCGCCGGAGCCCCCGCCACACUGUCCGCCGCCGCAGCUCCGCAGGUCCCCACGCCUCCCACAGCGACGAGUCCAAAGGCAUGGAGAGGCCACACCCACAACCGUUGGCUUUGAAAGUUAAUUUGAUGAAAGGAUUUGCCCUCGGCUUCAUCGAUGGCAGCGCGGGUGUGGAAUUGUGGAUGGUGCGGCGAAUUGAAGUGGAAGCUAGCGGGAAGGCCAUGCGGCGAGUCACGACGCCGGCCGGAGCGCCGCCAGCUUGCACUGCUAUGAGCAGCAGCCCCCUCGCGAGUCCUCGAAAAAUUGCUGCAACUGUUUGGUUGGUGGGAUGGGCAUGGAUGCGAUGGAGCGGCUCCACUUCUAAAGGCACACAUGGAGAAGCUGCAGGCAGAAGCCGACGCAAGGCGGAGCCGCGGACCUGGACACAAGCGGUGGUGCCGACCUAGGCGUCCGGAGCGCUCGGACGAAGGCGUCGAGCUAUGGACCUAAGCAGCUGGAUACUGAGAUGGCAAAAUGUAUGGGAAGAAUGUUAAAUAAACAAUUUGGUAGUGCUCUGUAUUUAAUAUGAACUUUUAAAUACGUGCAAAUUUUAAAGAUCGAGC